GACGAACCGUGCGAACGUUAUUCGGAAUCAUUGGGCUUAAAGGGCGCGUAGGCGGCGGUGUAAGUUGGAAGUGAAAUCCCAUCGGCUCAACCGUGGAAUUGCUCCCAGUACUGCAUCGCUCGAGGGGGAUAGGGGUCUGCGGAACUACCGGUGGAGCGGUGAAAUGUGUUGAUAUCGGAAGGAACACCGGUGGCGAAAGCGGCGCUCUGGACCUCUACUGACGCUGAGGCGCGAAAGCCAGGGGAGCAAACGGG
rnacentral:rRNA from 1 species